UGGGGAAUCUUCCGCAAUGGACGAAAGUCUGACGGAGCAACGCCGCGUGAGUGAUGAAGGUCUUCGGAUUGUAAAACUCUGUUGUUAGGGACGAAAGCACCGUGUUCGAACAGGUCAUGGUGUUGACGGUACCUAACGAGGAAGCCACGGCUAACUACGUGCCAGCAGCCGCGGUAAUACGUAGGUGGCAAGCGUUGUCCGGAAUUAUUGGGCGUAAAGAGCAUGUAGGCGGGCUUUUAAGUCUGACGUGAAAAUGCGGGGCUUAACCCCGUAUGGCGUUGGAUACUGGAAGUCUUGAGUGCAGGAGAGGAAAGGGGAAUUCCCAGUGUAGCGGUGAAAUGCGUAGAUAUUGGGAGGAACACCAGUGGCGAAGGCGCCUUUCUGGACUGUGUCUGACGCU
rnacentral:rRNA from 1 species